GGCACAGGGAUUAGGAGGUGGAAGUGUCUUUUGAAAAAGGCCUUUCUCUUCCCAGGGCUUCCAGUGCACCUGAGAAUUCUGGAAAGAAAAGCCAGGAGCAGAGAUCUUGGAGCCUGAGCUUGGGAGCUGUGAAUUUAACCCUGGUGCUUCCUGUAAUUUGUUUUGUGACCCUGGACAAGUCCCUUAUGGCUAUAGCAUUGGGAUCGGGUAACAAAGACCUCCGAGGCCUCUCCCAGGAGACAAUGUACAGCAUCAGACUGAGACGGGCUCAAAACCUAGUCCUGACUGCAGAGCCCCCUAAACCACAGAUGAGGAAGAUGAUUUUCCCAAGGUCUCAGUUCUAAGAAUGGUAGCACCAGAAAACUGAUACCAGUGUUAGUGCGUGGUCUAUCUAACAUCAGCUGCCUCUUUAAUUAUUGAGGUAAUUGUAGCAGACUAAAGGUUCCUCAUGAAAAGACAAAAUUCUCUUGUGGCCUUGCUCCAUGCCUCUGUCAAGACAGGCAUCCAAGCUGAUUGUUCCAGCCAUUUAAUGACUAAUCCUGAACCUCCCUGCUCCAUGGCUAUGCCAGUUAGAGAGAAGCAAUAUUGCUUGCCUCUGGAUUAUUUCAGUUCAGCUACUGUCAAAAUAGCAUAAACAUGUGACAGAUCUUCCCAGCUAUGUGAAGAAUUGAGGCACUGGAUGCAAUACAGACAGUAGAAGUCACUGCAGCAGUUCAAGUACUUCCUCAAAGGACUUCCAGCCAUAUAUAUGCAAUCUAGUCACAUAAAAGCCUUUGAAGAGUGGACAAGACAAAGAUCAACGGGGAUAUUUUUCUCAAGAAUAAAGUUUGCUAUAAGUCAUGUUUAAAAGACAUGUCAAGAUGUUUAAGGAUACUUCAAGGUACUUGAGAGAUGAGUUUCCCUCAUGGGACAUGAGUGAUUCUUAGCAUUGAUUUGUUCUCCCAAAACAAAAGAACAGAAAAAAAAUAGAAUCAAACAAUCCUA